AAUGCCAAGCAAUGUACAAAGUCCAAACUUUGUGUGUGUCUUUAAUUAAUAUCAUGGGCUCCAAAGGUUAUUAUUUAGGUCCAUUCACAAUUUGGAACCACAAAAAACUUAUACCUCUUGAAGGAGGAUUUCUCUCUCCAACUUCAACUCUAAUUUGUAAGUAUCCUUCUCAAUCCAAAAAAGUUAGAAGACUUUCUAGAAUGCAACUAGGACCCCACAAGUCACACAUGGUCUAUGACCAAACACUCAUCUCUUAUAUAAAACAACUCAAGGGAGAUAAAUCAAAGGAGUAAAAA
rnacentral:lncRNA from 1 species